rnacentral:rRNA from 1 species
CCUACGGGAGGCAGCAGUCGAGAAUUAUUCACAAUGGGGGAAACCCUGAUGGUGCGACGCCGCGUGGGGGAAUGAAGGUCUUCGGAUUGUAAACCCCUGUCAUGUGGGAGCAAAUUAAAAAGAUAGUACCACACGAGGAAGAGACGGCUAACUCUGUUCCAGCAGCCGCGGUAAUACAGAGGUCUCAAGCGUUGUUCGGAAUCACUGGGCGUAAAGCGUGCGUAGGCUGUUUCGUAAGUCGUGUGUGAAAGGCGCGGGCUCAACCCGCGGACGGCACAUGAUACUGCGAGACUAGAGUAAUGGAGGGGGAACCGGAAUUCUCGGUGUAGCAGUGAAAUGCGUAGAUAUCGAGAGGAACACUCGUGGCGAAGGCGGGUUCCUGGACAUUAACUGACGCUGAGGCACGAAGGCCAGGGGAGCGAAAGGGAUUAGAUACCCCUGUAGUC